rnacentral:rRNA from 1 species
CGUAGGUGGCAAGCGUUGUCCGGAAUUAUUGGGCGUAAAGCGCGCGCAGGCGGAAUAAUAAGUCUGUCGUGAAAGUGCGGGGCUCAACCCCGUGAUGGCAAUGGAAACUGUUAUUCUUGAGUGCAGGAGAGGAAAGUGGAAUUCCCAGUGUAGCGGUGAAAUGCGUAGAUAUUGGGAGGAACACCAGUGGCGAAGGCGACUUUCUGGACUGUGUCUGACGCUGAGGCGCGAAAGCCAGGGUAGUGAACGGGAUUAGAUACCCCGGUAAUCCUGGCCGUAAACGAUGGGUACUAGGUGUAGGGGGUAUCGACCCCUCCUGUGCCGGAGUUAACGCAAUAAGUACCCCGCCUGGGGAGUACGGCCGCAAGGUUG